CCUAUCAAAACCCUUCCAGAAGAACUGAAGAUAGCACUUUCUGAAUGGUUCCAGAUGCACAACUCAGAGGAGCACGAAAAUGCAGUCCCCCACUACCACAAAGUAUGCAGUUGAGCUUCCCACAUUUGGGGAAAUCGUAGAGGUCAGCACAUCCAGAGUGCAAUGGAGGAGCCUCACCCUGGAAAACCACCUUCGUGAUCAUGGUAUCUCCCCUGCCAGAUCACAGACUCCAUGUUGUUCCUACGCUAGAGACCAAGGAUGAAGGCAUGGGUAAGACACAGCCUCUUCCUCCAAGCCUCUCUGUGAAUGGACAUGCAGUUCUUAAGAAUAAAAGUCAUCUUUCAACACAUGUAUGUCC